UAGGUUUGUCCUAAGUCAAACUUCCUGAAGUUUGACCACAUUUAUAUAAAAAAAACUAAUAUCCACGACAUCAAAUAUAUAUAGUAUGAAAAUAUGCUUGAUGAUGAAUCUAAUGAAACUAAUUUGGUGUGUAGAUGUUGCUACAUUUGUUUAUAGACUUAAGUCAAACCUAAAGAAGUUUGACUUGAGACAAACCUAG
rnacentral:pre_miRNA from 1 species